UACAGAGGGUGCAAGCGUUAAUCGGAAUUACUGGGCGUAAAGCGUGCGUAGACGGUUACAUAAGUCGGGUGUGAAAGCCCCGGGCUCAACCUGGGAAUUGCAUUCGAGACUGCGUAGCUAGGGUGCGGAAGAGGGAAGCGGAAUUUCCGGUGUAGCGGUGAAAUGCGUAGAUAUCGGAAGGAACACCUGUGGCGAAGGCGGCCCCCUGGUUGGAUACUGACGCUGAUACGCGAAAGCGUGGGGAGCAAACAGG
rnacentral:rRNA from 1 species